AACGAACGCUGGCGGCAGGCUUAACACAUGCAAGUCGAACGCAUCCUUCGGGGUGAGUGGCAGACGGGUGAGUAACGCGUGGGAACGUGCCCUUCAGUUCGGGAUAACCCAGGGAAACUUGGGCUAAUACCGGAUACGUGCGAGAGCAGAAAGAUUUAUCGCUGAAGGAUCGGCCCGCGUCUGAUUAGCUAGUUGGUGGGGUAAUGGCCCACCAAGGCGACGAUCAGUAGCUGGUCUGAGAUGAUGAUCAGCCACAUUGGGACUGAGACACGGCCCAAACUCCUACGGGAGGCAGCAGCGGGGAAUAUUGGACAAUGGGCGCAAGCCUGAUCCAGCCAUGCCGCGUGAGUGAUGAAGGCCUUAGGGUUGUAAGGCUCUUUCGUCCGGGACGAUAAUGACGGUACCGGAAGAAGAAGCCCCGGCUAACUUCGUGCCAGCCGCCGCCGUAAAAC
rnacentral:rRNA from 1 species